AUUCACAGUGACAGAGAUGGAGUUGAGAUGUUGUUGAUCACAGCAGGAAAUGUCAUCAUAAGAAUUUUGUAAAUGAAGAUUUAAUAAGUUCAUGUGGAUAGACCACUUAGAACACUGCCUUCCACAGAGCAGAUCCGAGUUUUGCUGGAUACAAAAUUCUCGGUUGGCAGUUAUGCUGUUUAAGAAGGCUAAAGAUAGGACCACAAUCUCUUCUGGCUGAUGAAGAAGCUGAAAUCUAAAAUUGGUAGUGAAUUGUCCAAGAUGUGGAGCAAGAUGGCAAGUAGAAUCCUUGACUGAUCAUUGUCCCUGUGGGAAUACCACAUUGAACAACACCCCCACACAGAAAAAAGCACUUUCAUAGGAACCAGAAAUCAGAACACAAUCAUGACUUCUCAACAGUCCUCCAAAGUCUUAGCUCAUUCCAGGAGCUAAGUCCAAGGUCUCAUCUGAGACAAGGCAAGUC
rnacentral:lncRNA from 1 species